GUCCAGACUCCUACGGAGGCAGCAGUGGGGAAUAUUGCACAAUGGGGGGAACCCUGAUGCAGCGACGCCGCGUGGGUGAAGGAGUAUUUCGGUAUGUAAAGCCCUAUCAGCAGGGAAGAACAAUGACGGUACCUGACUAAGAAGCACCGGCUAAAUACGUGCCAGCAGCCGCGGCAAUACGUAUGGUGCAAGCGUUAUCCGGAUUUAUUGGGUUUAAAGGGUGCGUAGGCGGCGCUUCAGGUCAGCGGUGAAAUACCGGGGCUCAACCCCGGGGCUGCCGUUGAAACCGGAGCGCUAGAAUUCCGAUGCCGUCGGAGGAAUGUGUGGUGUAGCGGUGAAAUGCAUAGAUAUCACACAGAACACCGAUUGCGAAGGCAUCUGACGAAUCGGAGAUUGACGCUGAUGCACGAAAGCGUGGGUAUCGAACAGGAUUAGAUACCCCGGUAU
rnacentral:rRNA from 1 species